AACGAACGCUGGCGGCGUGGUUAAGACAUGCAAGUCGUACGGAAUUUUAUUUUGAGUAAUCGAGAUGAAGUUUAGUGGCGAAAGGGUGAGUAAUGCAUAGGUAACGUACCCCGAUCUCCGGGAUAGCGGCGGGCCUUCGGGCCCUUUAGCGAAAGUGCCGGUAAUACCUGAUAAUAUCCUGAUAUCGCAUGGUAUUUGGAUCAAAGGUUUCGACCGGUUUGGGAGCGACCUAUGUCGUAUCAGCUUGUUGGUGAGGUAACGGCUCACCAAGGCAUCGACGCGUAGCGGAACUGAGAGGUUGAUCCGCCACAUCGGGACUGAGACACUGCCCGGACCCCCACGGGGGGCUGCAGUAACGAAUAUUGCGCAAUGGACGAAAGUCUGACGCAGCGACGCCGCGUGCAGGAUGAAGCCCUUCGGGGUGUAAACUGCUGUCAGGGCUAAGAAAGGUGCGCUUAGGCGCAUUGAUCGACCC
rnacentral:rRNA from 1 species